AUGUCAGUGGCAGCGUCUGUGGGAGACUCUGCCUCUAUACUGCCUUCUCUGUGGAAAAGGCAAGUGGCUAUGUCUGAGGCUAUCAGAGCGCUUCAAACUUGGGCUCCUCACACGAAGGGCUUGAAGCUGGCCCCGGUGCCAGGACUUUCAUGUGCCAGGUUGGGGAUCCUGUUGUUCUUGGUACUGAUUUCUCUGCCAAGCCUGUACGGUGACCUGGGCUCACUACAUCACUCUUCCUAUGAAAUAGUCAUUCCCAAGAGUCUGACAGUGGAAGGAAGGGAAGACCAAGUGGAAAAGCUCUCCUACGUGCUAUUUAUGCAGGGCCAGAGGCAGCUGAUUCACCUGACGGUGAAGAGAGACUAUUUUGUGGAUAACUUCCCGGUCUUCAGCUACCACAAUGGCAUCCUGGGGCAAGAAAUGCCUCCCGUCUCACAGGACUGUCACUAUGAAGGCUACAUAGAAGGAGUCCCAGGUUCUUUUGUUUCUGUCAACACCUGUUCAGGCCUCAGGGGCCUCCUGAUUAAGGAGGAAAAAUCCUAUGGCAUUGAGCCCGUGCACUCUUCCAAACGGUUUGAACACGUGUUGUACGCCAUGGCCCACGAAGCUCGCGUCUCCUGUGGCGUCACGUCCAAAGACAGCCAAGUGGCGUCCACCAGCCGGCGACCGGAGAGCGGCAAGCCUCACAGCUGGCAGGUGCCAUCCGACUUGUGGUCACAUAUCAAGUACGUGGAGAUGGUUGUCGUGGUCAACAACCAGCGGUUCCAAAUGUGGGGCAGUGACGUCAAGCAGACAGUCCAGAGAGUAAUGGACAUCAUCGCUCUGGCCAACAGCUUCACAAGGGGAAUAAACACAGAGGUGGUGCUGGCUGGAAUGGAGAUUUGGACUGAGGGGGACCUCACAGAGGUCCCCGUGGACCUGCAAGUUGCACUCAGGAAUUUCAACAGCUGGAGACAAGAGAACCUCUUCCAUCGUGUCAAGCAUGAUGUUGCCCACAUGAUCGUGGGACAGCAUCCUAAGGAGGAUACGGGGCAGGCAUUUCUCAGCGGUGCCUGCUCCAGUGAUUUUGCAGCAGCCGUGGAAUCUUUCCACCACGAGGAUGUCCUCCUGUUUGCAGCACUCAUGGUCCACGAGCUUGGACACAACUUGGGUAUUCGGCACGACCAUUCGGCCUGCAUUUGUAAAGACAGGCCCUUCUGCCUCAUGCAUGAAAACAUCACUAAAGGAAGUGGCUUCAGCAACUGCAGCUCUGACUUCUUCCACCAGUUCCUCUGGGAACACAAGGGGGCCUGCCUGUUUAACAAGCCUGGGCACAAAGGCCGCUUACGGAGGGCUUCCCGCUGUGGCGACGGCAUUGUAGAUGAAGAUGAGCAGUGUGACUGUGGUACUGCUUGUGGCCUUGACCAAUGUUGUGAUGACACAUGUAGACUGAAGGCGACUGCAUUGUGUAAUCCUGGACCCUGCUGUAAUGCUACAUGCCAGUAUGAACGAACUGGACGUAGCUGCCGUCCUGCUUCAGGAGAAUGUGACCUUCCAGAAUUUUGUCUUGGUACCUCUGGGGAGUGUCCCCCGGACACCUACAAGCAAGAUGGUUCAGUAUGUACGGGUGGUUUCUAUUGUGUUAAGGGCGUAUGCGUGUCUUCUGAUGCUCAGUGUUCUGAAAUUUUUGGGUUUCCUGCAAAAGCUGCCUCAGAAGAAUGUUUUCGGUCAUUUAAUGGUAAAGGGAACAGAUUUGGAAACUGUGGUACUCCCAUUGAGGGUGACUCAUCAUAUAUUAAAUGUGAAAACGAUGCUGUAUUUUGUGGGAAAAUGAUAUGUACAAAUGUUCAAGAGUUACCAGAGACUGAAGUCAAUUAUACAUUGUUGCAGACUCAUUAUAAAAAUGACUUCUGCUGGUCCAUGGAUAAGUUUAAUGUUAAGGAUGUCCCUGAUUCUGGAGAUGCAAAGAUGGGCAUUAUUUGUGCCCCAGGGAAAGUCUGCAUAGACUUCACCUGCUCAGAUGUCAGUGUUCUUGGGUACGAUUGUGAUGUAAGGGUACAGUGUAACCAGAAAGGAGUUUGCAACAAUAACAAGAACUGCCAUUGUGAUGAUGGUUUUUCCCCUCCUGACUGCAAAAACCCAGGACCUGGUGGUAGCGUGGACAGUGGCUUCCCUGGUCCCGAAUCAGAGGGAGGUGGACAAGGAACUACUUCUGACGAAGACGGUGCCAAACAUGUCUUAGCCACAAUAAUCCCAUUACUUUGUAUGUUGUUAUUACUACUUAUAAUUUGUUGUAUCUGCGUGUUUUGCAAAGCGGACAAAGGAGCAGCUGCUAAACCAAAAGAGGAACCAGCUGUCCCAGAAGCGAAGCCUCCGGAAGAGAAGCCUCCAGAAGAGGAGGCUGAGGAGGAAGAGGAGGAAGAAAAGGAAGAAAAGGAAGAAAAGGAAGAGGAGGAAGAGGAGGAAGAGGAAGAAUCAGAGCCAUAA
rnacentral:lncRNA from 1 species